rnacentral:miRNA from 1 species
AGGGAGGAGCAGCAUCUGUGA